rnacentral:rRNA from 1 species
AGCCCACCCUAGCCCAACUACCUCAUAAGAACUAACUCCAACCUUAAACUAAAACAUUCUCCCGUCUAAGUAUAGGCGAUAGAAAAGACACUAGGAGCGAUAGACUUCCAGUACCGUAAGGGAAAGAUGAAAUAACAAUGAAAAACCUAAGCGACAAACAGCAAAGACAAACCCUUGUACCUCUUGCAUCAUGAUUUAGCAAGAACAACCAAGCAAAAUGAAUCUUAAGCUUGCCACCCCGAAACCCAAGCGAGCUACUCACAAGCAGCUACCCUUGAGCAAACCCGUCUCUGUAGCAAAAGAGUGGGAAGACUUGUUAGUAGAGGUGAAAAGCCUACCGAGCUGGGUGAUAGCUGGUUGCCUGUGAAAUGAAUCUAAGUUCUCCCUUAAUUUUACCUCCCCUGCAAAACUCGAACACUUGCCCGUAGCAAAUUAAGAGUAAUUUAAAGGAGGAACAGCUCCUUUAAAAAAGAAUACAACCUUCCCCAGAGGAUAAGCAUUCUACCCUUCGAACUUGUAGGCCUUUAAGCAGCCACCAAUAAAGAGUGCGUCAAAGCUCCGACCCCAUAAAAAUACAGAAAUAAAUGCGACUCCCUCACCCACAACAGGCUAACCUAUCUUAAAUAGGAGCAUCAAUGCUAGAAUAAGUAACCGAGGAACCUCCUUCUGAAGCACAAACUUACAUCCCUCUAUCCAAAAUUAUUAACAGGCUCACCAAUACUACAACCAUUACAAGAACCAAGUAUUUAAUAUAUCCCCUGUUAAACCAACUCAGGAGUGCCCAAUUAGAAAGAUUCAAACCUGCAAAAGGAACUAGGCAAACCCAAGGCCCGACUGUUUACCAAAAACAUAGCCUUCAGCUCAACAAGUAUUGAAGGUGACGCCUGCCCAGUGACAUAAAGUUUAACGGCCGCGGUAUCCUAACCGUGCAAAGGUAGCGCAAUCAAUUGUCCCACAAAUCGAGACUUGUAUGAAUGGCCAAACGAGGUCUUAACUGUCUCUUGCAAGUAAUCAGUGAAAUUGAUCUCCCCGUGCAAAAGCGGGGAUAAAUUCAUAAGACGAGAAGACCCUGUGGAACUUAAAAACCAGCAGCCACCCCAAACCACAUCUAAACCUACAAGGUUCACAACCAAGAACAACUGGCUAGCAUUUUUUCGGUUGGGGCGACCUUGGAGAAAAACAUAUCCUCCAAAAAUAAGACCAUAUAUCUUAACCAAGAUCAACCACUCAACGUACUAACAGUAACCAGACCCAGCAUAGCUGAUCAAUGGACCAAGCUACCCCAGGGAUAACAGCGCUAUCCCCCUCAAGAGCCCAUAUCGACAGGGGGGUUUACGACCUCGAUGUUGGAUCAGGACAUCCUAAUGGUGCAGCCGCUAUUAAGGGUUCGUUUGUUCAACGAUUAAUUAGUCCUACGUGAUCUGAGUUCAGACCGGAGCAAUCCAGGUCGGUUUCUAUCUAUGAUUAACUUCUCCUAGUACGAAAGGACCGGAAAAGUAAGGCCAAUACCCCAAGCACGCCUUCCCCCAAAAGUAGUGAACUCAUCUAAACUACCAAAGGGACUUUAAUCGUAUAAUCCUAAACAAGGAUG